AGAGCGAACGCUGGCGGCAGGCCUAACACAUGCAAGUCGAACGGACUCUUCGGAGUUAGUGGCGGACGGGUGAGUAACACGUGGGAACGUGCCUUUAGGUUCGGAAUAGCUCCUGGAAACGGGUGGUAAUACCGAAUGUGCCCUUCGGGGGAAAGAUUUAUCGCCUUUAGAGCGGCCCGCGUCUGAUUAGCUUGUUGGUGAGGUAAUGGCUCACCAAGGCUACGAUCAGUAGCUGGUCUGAGAGGAUGACCAGCCACAUUGGGACUGAGACACGGCCCAAACUCCUACGGGAGGCAGCAGUGGGGAAUCUUGCGCAAUGGGCGAAAGCCUGACGCAGCCAUGCCGCGUGUAUGAUGAAGGUCUUAGGAUUAGUAAAAUACUUUCACCGGUGAAGAUAAUGACUGUAGCCGGAAGAAGAACGCCCGGAUAACUCGUGCCAGCAGCCGC
rnacentral:rRNA from 1 species